GAUGAAGAACGUAGCGAAAUGCGAUAAGUAAUGUGAAUUGCAGAAUUCAGUGAAUCAUCGAAUCUUUGAACGCACAUUGCGCCCGCCAGUAUUCUGGCGGGCAUGCCUGUUCGAGCGUCAUUUCAACCAUCAAGCCCCAGGCUUGUGUUGGAGCCCUGCGGCUGCCGCAGCCUCCCAAAACCAGUGGCGGGCUCGCUAUCACACCGAGUGCAGUAGUUUACUCUUCGCUCAGGGCGUGUGGCGGGUGCUAGCCGUGAAACCCCCAACUUCUCAAGGUUAACCUCGGAUCAGGUAGGAAUACCCGCUGAACUUAAGCAUAUCAAUAAGCGGAGGA
rnacentral:misc_RNA from 1 species